rnacentral:lncRNA from 10 species
CCCUCUUUCUGUUCUCAUGAUAGUCAGUGAGUUCUCACGAGAUCUGAUGGUUUUGUAAGUGUGUGGUAGUUCCUCCUUUGUUCCUUUUCCUUCCUGCCACCUUGAGAAGAAGGUGCUUUUCUUCCCUUUCACCUUCGGCCAUUAUUGUAAGUUUCCCGAGGCCUCCCCAGCCAUGCUGAGUGCCAAGUGGAAGAAGCCAAGUGAAGGGCUAUGGGGACCUAGAAGAUGGAGUCGUCACACAGUGGAAGAAUUGCAGAUCUCUGAGUCACCAUUUGGACAAGAACCUACUAGAACAGGUGCCUGAACAAGAACACUGGACUUUGUGGAUACUGCUGGAAGAUGGACAGUGAAUUGUCAGAAUUCAGAAGUUCCAGGUCAGAGGUUGACUCAGCCACCCCUGGGCUGAUGGAACCAUCAGAAGGAUCCUCUGAUUCAGUCCCCAAACUGGGCCCUGUGGAGCAGCAUCCCAGACAGCAGGAAUCGGACCUGCAAUUACUCCUUGGGACUCAGGGAGGAGUUUUAACAAGAAAACUGCACAUCUUCAGAGCAGGUGGUCUUUUCUGUCUCUAUAAUCAAACAAAAAUUUUUUUCGACUGUUCUAUAACAGACUGCUGCCUGGGAUCCUAGAACUGUUGCGUUUUUGAUCUUCCUCUUCGCAGCAUGGACAGUGGAUCCCCUUGAUCUGCAAGCCCUGCCCUGCCUCUCUCUGCACGCUGGGGGUUCAGGGAGGCUACACCCUUGGGGGGCACUGGGAGCUGCUGGAGAUGUGCACAGCGAGCAGUGGAGAGCAGUCGUCUCUUCUGAUCUACAUGCAGGGGAACUGGUGAGAGUUGCCGUAGGACCUCUGGUGAAAUUACCUUGGCUACUGACUAGUAAAGAGAUGAGAAAGGAGAGGUACUAUAGAUUUUCUUUAAGAAAUAAAUAUUGUCUCCUCUUUCUCUCUUUUCUCUGGUAAACAGUGCCCAAAUUUGGAAAUAUCACGUGUAAUUUAUUGUCCCACUUUAAAUGUUUCUUGUAACCAUGAAUUACUAUUCUUGGAUCAGAUUCCAUUAUAAUAAACUCCCACUUGGACUCCAAAUUCUUUUACAACAGUGGAAUUUUGCUUGAACUAACGCAUUGUUAUAAAUCACAUUUUCUGACCCCAGCCUGGAGUUCA